AUUGAACGCUGGCGGCGUGCCUAACACAUGCAAGUCGAGCGGUAACAGGUGUAGCAAUACAUGCUGACGAGCGGCGAACGGGUGAGUAAUGCUUCGGAAUCUACCCAAUGGUGGGAAUAACCAGCCGAAAGGUUGGCUAAUACCGCAUACGUCCCACGGGAGAAAGCAGGGGAUCGCAAGACCUUGCGCCAAUGGAUGAGCCGAAGUCGGAUUAGCUAGUUGGAGGGUAACGGCCUACCAAGGCGACGAUCCGUAGCUGGUCUGAGAGGACGACCAGCCACACUGGGACUGAGACACGGCCCAGACUCCUACGGGAGGCAGCAGUGGGGAAUAUUGGACAAUGGGGGAAACCCUCGAUCCAGCGACGCCGCGUGUGUGAAGAAGGCCUGCGGGUUGUAAAG
rnacentral:rRNA from 1 species